ensembl:lncRNA
CUGGGCACACAACCAGCGCAGGCCGGGCAGCUGUGUGCACACCCGGAGACCCGGCUGCUGCGUGGGAAACCUCUCCACAGCUGGAGAGUUUCUGAAGCAGACCAAAGGACAGUGAUGGCCCCGAGCAUACGGUGCUGAGCCCACCAUGGCAGCGUGGGGCAGCGCCUGCAGCACUGACAGCAGCUACACGCAGCCUUAUCUACCCCAGGUAACCAGAGGUGCUUGGCUCAUCCCAGCUCUCCGAGCACAGUCAUGCCACAACCUGCAUGCUGCUCUGCCCUGCCCAUGUCAUCCCUCAGCUAUCCAAAUAUGCUGGAGGAGUGAUUGCUACAUGUUGUUAAAUCCCGUAGCAACUCUCAGGUUCAAGGGCAAAGAGAGAAAAGAAUGCAAGAAAAUAGCAAGAAAUAGAUCAACAUGAAAAAGAAAGCACCAAUUUGGAAAGUGCUGUUGGAAUUUGACAGGAAUAACAGCCCACGGCCGCCCUCCCAGCAGCAGCUCAUUCACCUCUGGCAGCCACAUGUGGCCUUUCCACAGACAAAAAAAUACAGCGAAAACGUUCCUACCUUCCAUGAGGCCAAACCAGGGUUCCAUGGCUCUUCUCCAGGCUCUGAUAACAUCACCACUGCAAACACCGGAGAGAUCAUUCCAGACCUCAGGGACUACAGAUGCCACGUGGGAAGCGCCUGGGCAGCCGGCCGCACGCGAAACCUGGAUGUCUUCCUGCAAGCCCCUGGGAUAGCUGAAACCAGAGGGACAUUAAGCAGAAACCAUAAAGUCACAUUUCUGGAAUGCUUUAGUCAUCAAAGCUCUGUGCAAGUAAAUCUGCUGCACCUGGAGAAGAUGCACGGAGAUCUGACAGAGUGGGUAGCGGAGGAAUGCACUGUGGAGAGCCUGCAGGUCAUCCCCAGCACAGCCGGGACACCCAACCACACCUGUGUCUUACGCACGUCCACGAGAAGGCACUUCCAUAGAAGAUUUAUUUUCAGAAGCAAAGUGUUCCUGGCAGUGAUUUCAAAUCACACCGUAACAGCAACACCACCCAAGCAGAAAGCUUUUUCCAAUGGCUCAUCUACCCCACAUGUGCGCUCAGAGCAGCAGACUUCCCAAGAGAAAAUUCCAUCUGCAAAUGGCAAAGAUUCGCUGGUCAGACAAAAUAUAAGUAUCUUCAUGAAAGCGUUCAUCGUCUGCAUCCUGUUAGCGCCCAUGAUAUGCUAUACCAUAUUUUUCAUACAUGAAAUAAGCCACUUGAUCCUUACAUGAGAAGAUCCCAAAUUAUUGUCAUCCACAAAACCUACUUAAGAAAUGCUGCAGGCCUUAGAGAAACACUGUUUUUACAAACAAAAAAAAAAGCAUCAUCUUCCUCCUCACCACUUACUGGGAACAGCAGAUUGAACAUCAGCAGCUUAAAUAACCACAGCUUCAACCGCUGCAGACUGAAACCAGACCUAAUAUCAGAAGCAACAUUUACCUGGUUAGGAGCAAUCACAUCAAUUCACUGCGAAGCGAGGUGCUGUGAAGACACCCACAUGCUGAUUCCUUCCAUUAACUACCUGGAUUCAUGUUUUAAUUCCCAGAUACUAGAAAAACCUGUUGGCAUAAACAAUAAAUACUUCAUUG